CAGAACAUAGCUUAAAUAAAGCAUUUUGCUUACACCAAAAAAAUAUCCAUCAAAGGAUUGCUCUG
rnacentral:tRNA from 1 species